GACGAACGCUGGCGGCGUGCCUAAUACAUGCAAGUAGAGCGCACAGUUUAUACCGUAGCUUGCUCCACCAUAGACUGUGAGUUGCGAACGGGUGAGUAACGCGUAGGUAACCUGCCUGGUAGCGGGGGAUAACUAUUGGAAACGAUAGCUAAUACCGCAUAAUAUUGAUUAUUGCAUGAUAAUUGAUUGAAAGAUGCUAUUGCAUCACUACCAGAUGGACCUGCGUUGUAUUAGCUAGUAGGUGAGGUAACGGCUCACCUAGGCGACGAUACAUAGCCGACCUGAGAGGGUGAUCGGCCACACUGGGACUGAGACACGGCCCAGACUCCUACGGGAGGCAGCAGUAGGGAAUCUUCGGCAAUGGACGAAAGUCUGACCGAGCAACGCCGCGUGAGUGAAGAAGGUUUUCGGAUCGUAAAGCUCUGUUGUAAGAGAAGAACGGGUGUGAGAGUGGAAAGUUCACACUGUGACGGUAUCUUACCAGAAAGGGACGGCUAACUACGUG
rnacentral:rRNA from 1 species